rnacentral:rRNA from 1 species
AUAACUUCCAGCAGUGGAUCUCUAGGCUCAAGUGCUGAGGAAGGGUGCAGCAAAGUGUGAUAAGCAUUGUGAUGUGCGAGAUCCUGUGAACCAUUAGACUCCCGAUCGCACUCUGUACUUCUAGGAUCUCCUGGAAGUAAUCCAGCUUCAGGGUCAUG